rnacentral:rRNA from 1 species
AUUGAACGCUGGCGGCAUGCUUUACACAUGCAAGUCGAACGGUAACAGGCCGCAAGGUGCUGACGAGUGGCGCACGGGUGCGUAAUGCAUCGGAACGUGCCCAGUCGUGGGGGAUAACUACUCGAAAGAGUAGCUAAUACCGCAUACGAGCUAUGGAUGAAAGCGGGGGACCGUAAGGCCUCGCGCGAUUGGAGCGGCCGAUGUCAGAUUAGGUAGUUGGUGGGGUAAAGGCUCACCAAGCCAACGAUCUGUAGCUGGUCUGAGAGGACGACCAGCCACACUGGGACUGAGACACGGCCCAGACUCCUACGGGAGGCAGCAGUGGGGAAUUUUGGACAAUGGGCGCAAGCCUGAUCCAGCAAUGCCGCGUGCAGGAAGAAGGCCUUCGGGUUGUAAACUGCUUUUGUACGGAACGAAACGGCUCUGGUUAAUACCCGGGGCUAAUGACGGUACCGUAAGAAUAAGCACCGGCUAACUACGUG